rnacentral:tRNA from 1 species
UCCCUGGUGGCUCAGCUGGUAGAGAAUCUGCCUGCAAUGCAGGAGACCCCGGUUUGAUCCCUGGGUUGGGAA